rnacentral:sRNA from 1 species
AAACGAUGUACCUGCCUAUAUUUCUGUU